GGGCGUUAAGUUGCAGGGUAUAGACCCGAAACCCGGUGAUCUAGCCAUGGGCAGGUUGAAGGUUGGGUAACACUAACUGGAGGACCGAACCGACUAAUGUUGAAAAAUUAGCGGAUGACCUGUGGCUGGGGGUGAAAGGCCAAUCAAACCGGGAGAUAGCUGGUUCUCCCCGAAAGCUAUUUAGGUAGCGCCUCGUGAAUUCAUCUCCGGGGGUAGAGCACUGUUUCGGCUAGGGGGCCAUCCCGGCUUACCAACCCGAUGCAAACUGCGAAUACCGGAGAAUGUUAUCACGGGAGACACACGGCGGGUGCUAACGUCCGUCGUGAAGAGGGAAACAACCCAGACCGCCAGCUAAGGUCCCAAAGUCAUGGUUAAGUGGGAAACGAUGUGGGAAGGCCCAGACAGCCAGGAUGUUGGCUUAGAAGCAGCCAUCAUUUAAAGAAAGCGUAAUAGCUCACUGGUCGAGUCGGCCUGCGCGGAAGAUGUAACGGGGCUAAACCAUGCA
rnacentral:rRNA from 1 species